rnacentral:rRNA from 1 species
UACGUAGGGUGCGAGCGUUAAUCGGAAUUACUGGGCGUAAAGCGUGCGCAGGCGGUUUUGUAAGCCAGAUGUGAAAUCCCCGGGCUCAACCUGGGAACUGCCUUUGGGACUACAAGGCUUGAGUGUGGCAGAGGGGGGUAGAAUUCCACGUGUAGCGGUGAAAUGCGUAGAGAUGUGGAGGAAUACCGAUGGCGAAGGCAGCCCCCUGGGAUAACACUGACGCUGAGGCGCGAAAGCGUGGGGAGCAAACAGG